AAUUCUCAACCUCACCAGUUUUGUCUGUGUGAAGGCUUGGAUGUGGAGGUUUAUGCAGGCUGCCUCAGCGCGGUCUGCUCCUCUGAAAUGCAUUAGCGAGUUUCACUAAGCCUCGUCUAUUGGUGUGAUAAUUAUCUACGCCGUGGAAGGGGUUUAGACUUGCUUCUAACCGUCUGAAAGGACAACUCUUUGACA
rnacentral:misc_RNA from 1 species